rnacentral:rRNA from 1 species
GACGAACGCUGGCGGCGCGCCUAACACAUGCAAGUCGAACGAGCGAGAGAGAGCUUGCUUUCUCAAGCGAGUGGCGAACGGGUGAGUAACGCGUGAGGAACCUGCCUCAAAGAGGGGGACAACAGUUGGAAACGACUGCUAAUACCGCAUAAGCCCACAGGUCGGCCUCGACCAGAGGGAAAGGGAGCAAUCCGCUUUGAGAUGGCCUCGCGUCCGAUUAGCUAGUUGGUGAAGUAACGGCCCACCAAGGCAACGAUCGGUAGCCGGACUGAGAGGUUGAACGGCCACAUUGGGACUGAGACACGGCCCAGACUCCUACGGGAGGCAGCAGUGGGGAAUAUUGCACAAUGGGGGAAACCCUGAUGCAGCGACGCCGCGUGGAGGAAGAAGGUCUUCGGAUUGUAAACUCCUGUUGUUGAGGAAGAUAAUGACGGUACUCAACAAGGAAGUGACGGCUAACUACGUG